AGGAUGUGGAAUUGCACAGACAACCAGGAUGUUGGCUUAGAAGCAGCCACUCAUUAAAAGAGUGCGUAAUAGCUCACUGGUCGAGUGACUCUGCGCCGAAAAUUCAACGGGGCUAAACUAUACACCGAAGCUUGGGAUACAUCUAAUGUAUGGUAGGAGAGCGUUCUGUAUGGGGAGAAGUCGUAGCGAAAGCGGCGGUGGACUAUACAGAAGUGAGAAUGCCGGAAUAAGUAGCGAGAAUUAAGUGAGAAUCUUAAUGGCCGAAAGUCUAAGGUUUUUGGAGGAAGGUUCGUCCGCUCCAAGUAAGUCGGGAGCUAAGGUCAGGCCGAAAGGCGUAGCCGAUGCACAUACGGUUGAUAUUCCGUAACCAUCUGUAAUUUAAGCAAAGGGACACUUCAAAAGGGUGUGACCCGGGCGUUGGUUGACCCGGGCGUAAGGGACCGAAAUUAGAGUAGGGAAGCACACUUAGCUGAAGGCGAGAAAAGCUUUGCGUAUAGAAACAGAUGCCCGUACCGCAAACCGACACAGGUGGACAGGAAGAGAAUUCUAAGGCCAGCGGGAGAAGGGUAGUUAAGGAACUCGGCAAAUUGACUCCGUAACUUCGGAAUAAGGAGUGCUCGAAAGAGCCGCAGAGAAUAGGCCCAGGCGACUGUUUAGCAAAAACACAGGUCUCUGCCAAAUCGAAAGAUGAAGUAUAGGGGCUGACACCUGCCCGGUGCCGGAAGGUUAAGAGGAGGAGUGAGAGCUCCGAAUUGAAGCCCCGGUAAACGGCGGCCGUAACUAUAACGGUCCUAAGGUAGCGAAAUUCCUUGUCGGGUAAGUUCCGACCCGCACGAAUGGUGUAACGAUCUGGGCACUGUCUCAACUACCCACCCGGCGAAAUUGUAGUACCGGUGAAGAUGCCGGUUACCUGCGGCAAGACGGAAAGACCCCAUGGAGCUUUACUGUAGCCUGAUAUUGGGUUUCGGAAAUCUAUGUACAGGAUAGGCGGGAGACUGGGAAACAUGAGCGUCAGCUUGUGUGGAGUCGAUGUUGGGAUACCGCCCUUAGGUUUCUGGAAUUCUAACCUGCGGCCGUGAAUCCGGUCGGGGGACAUUGUCAGGUGGGCAGUUUGACUGGGGCGGUCGCCUCCGAAAAGGUAACGGAGGCGCUCAAAGGUUAGCUCAGCACGGACGGAAACCGUGCCUCUGAGUGUAAACGCAAAAGCUAGCCUAACUGCGAGGGUGACGGCCCGAGCAGUAACGAAAGUUGGAGUUAGUGAUCCGGCGGUAUGUGAAUGGAAAUGCCGUCGCUCAACGGAUAAAAGCUACCCUGGGGAUAACAGGCUGAUCUCCCCCAAGAGUCCACAUCGACGGGGAGGUUUGGCACCUCGAUGUCGGCUCAUCACAUCCUGGGGCUGUAUUCGGUCCCAAGGGUUCGGCUGUUCGCCGAUUAAAGUGGUACGCGAGCUGGGUUCAGAACGUCGCGAGACAGUUCGGUCCCUAUCUGUCGUGGGCGCAGGAUAUUUGAGGAGCUCUGUCCUUAGUACGAGAGGACCGGGAUGGACGUACCUCUGGUGCACCAGUUGUCAUGCCAAUGGCACGGCUGGGCAGCUAUGUACGGAACGGAUAAACGCUGAAAGCAUCUAAGCGUGAAGCCGACUCCAAGAUUAGAUAUCCCAUCGUAUAACGAGUAAGACCCCUUGAAGACUACGAGGUUGAUAGGCUGCGUGUGUAAGUGCCGUGAGGCAUUCAGCUUGGCAGUACUAAUAGGUCGAGGGCUUGACCAC
rnacentral:rRNA from 1 species